CUAGCUGAAUCAGAUAUGUUAAAUUAGGGUUGGACUGAAAACCUACAGGACAGUAGAUCUCCAGGAAGAGGGUUGGGCAGACCUGCCCUAGGUGGAAGUUGUUCCACCUCAGAGAACAAACCAUCAGAAAGAGGAAGAGACAUCAAUAAACAUAGACCUUCAGGGAUCCAACCAGUAACAGUCGGACCAAAGCACCUUUCAAAACAAAGAUGAAGUCAAAUAAUAAGGUAUCAGAGAGAAAACAUGACACUUCCUGAUGUCAGAUUCUAUAAGAAUCAUAAAAGGACAAACUAAUUAAAUGUUUCUAAAAGUAACAUAAUAAAAAAAAAAAAACAGGCACUCAGAUGUGGCAGGGUUAGCAAACCACCACGGAUUACAGCCCAAUACAUCACCCGGGCAGAGCUCCCUGCUAUCCAGGACCACUAUACCAGGCGGUGUCAAGAGGAAGGUCCCAAAAAUAGUGAAAGACUCGAGCAACCACAGUGCACCACGUCUGGAACCAACACAACCCUGAACAGCUUCUAUAACCAAGCCUUAAGACUGCUAAACAAGACCGCUAAAUAGCUCUUCAAAUGGCUACCCGGACUUGUGGAUUAACUAUGUACACAAUGGACUAUCAGACAUACAGUACUUACACUGACAACACACACACACACACACCAAAUACGCUACUGCCAAUGUACUGUCUAUCAUCUAUCCUAAGAGCGCACACACACGGGACUCUCAGACAUGCAGUACUUCACUGACAACACACGCCCACACACCAAAAGCUCUGCUGCCAAUGUACUGUCUUAUCUAUCCAAGGCACACACACACACACACACACACACACACCCGACAGGAUUCGUUUUGAAGAUAAAUUAACCAGAACCAUUCCUUUUAAAGAAGAUGUCUUGACUGGAAAAUAGGUUGAUUUGUGUGAUUGAAAUUGUUAAAACUGACACCCUGUUGUUUAAACACAACUAGCUACCCUGUUUCACCUUGGAUUCACACACUUCACAGGAUGCUAAUGGACCAACUGUCUCAGAAUUCACUGGAAACAGAAAGUACGCCUUUGGCUGGGACCAGCCGAGUCUGAGAUGAGAUAGACGUGUUCCAAACUACACUAAAACAUGUCAGUCAUUACCCUGGCCAUAGAAAAGACAGACUGGG
rnacentral:lncRNA from 1 species